rnacentral:rRNA from 1 species
UACGAAGGGGGCUAGCGUUGUUCGGAAUCACUGGGCGUAAAGGGCGCGUAGGCGGCCGAUCAAGUCGGGGGUGAAAGCCCGGGGCUCAACCCCGGAACUGCCUUUGAAACUAGAUAGCUAGAAUCUUGGAGAGGUCAGUGGAAUUCCGAGUGUAGAGGUGAAAUUCGUAGAUAUUCGGAAGAACACCAGUGGCGAAGGCGGACUGACUGGACAAGUAUUGACGCUGAGGUGCGAAAGCGUGGGGAGCAAACAGG